UUCUUGGCCUGUUGCUGUGCAUAACUGCAUUUGUCCAUGUUCCUGUACACUAGAUAAGGACACUAGCCCGUCCUCCCUGCCCCCUCUGCCCAAGUGCCUCUGCCUUACAGCAGGGAGCACUCACUACUUUAAGAUCCUUUUAUUUUAACAGUCAAAGUACAUGACUUUAAUCGACUACAACCAUGUCCCUUGGACAUCAGUGUGUAUAAUUGCACAUGCUUCCUCCCAUUUGAAUAAGAUCCAACCCCUUCACACACUUUGCCUUGCAUUAAGGGUGCUGACCACUAAGACCUCUUCUCUUGGUCUGUUAUUGUGAAUAACCACAUUUGUCUGUGUUCCUGUGCACUGGGUAAGGACAUAGCCCUGUCCUCUCUGCCCCUCCACCCUCGUAGUGCCUUUGUGUUUGAGCAGGCAGCACCCGCUACUUUAAGAUCCUUUUAUUUGGACAGUCAAGGUACAUGAUUUUAUUUGACCACAACCAUGUCCCUUGGACAUCAGUGUGUAUAACUGCACAUGGUUUGUCCCAUUUGAAUAAGAUCCUACCCCCUCACACACUUUGUGGGAUACAGCAAGGAUACUCACCAUUAAGUCCUCUUUUCUUGGCCUGUUGCUAUGCAUAACUGCAUUUGUUCAUGUUCCUGUGCACUAGAUAAGGACACAGGCCUGUCUUCCCUGCCCCCUCUGCCCCAGUACCUCUGCCUUACAGCAGGGGGCACUCACUACUUUAAGACCCUGUUAUUUCAACAGUGAUGGUACAUGACUUUAAUUGACCACAGCCAUGUCCCUUGGGCAUUAAUGUGUAUAAUUGUAUCUUGUUCAUCCUAUUUAAGAUCCUACCCGCUCACACCCAUUUUACAAUAUAGCAGGGUUGAUGACGACUAAGGUCUCUCUUGGCUAGUUAAUAUGUAUGAUUGUAUUUAUGAUGGUUCUUGUGCACCAGACAAAGAUGUCCCCCAUCAAACUCUCCUUGCCUUCCAGUAGGUGGUGUCCACUGCUGAAGACCCUUACAUUCAGAUAGUUAUUGCACCUGAUUGCCGUUUUCCACAACCCUGUCACUUCCUGGACCAUUGUACUUCUUUUGCAUUACUUCAGUGGCUACUGUUUUGCCCCAGGGUGCCUUUUAGUGGUGUGUGAUAUGCAUAAUUGCAACUGUUUUGGUCUUUAUUAUUAAACAAAGCUCAUUCCUUCUUACAUUUCCUUUGCAUUAUAACAGGGCUUGCUGCUCAACAAAGGCCCUCCUCUUUGGACUAUUAAUGUAUAUAGUUACUUUUGCCCCUGUUCUUUGCACUACUUGAGGGCCCCACCUGCUUCCUUAACAUUUUCAGCAGGUAGUUCCCACUAUUCAAGAUCCUUUCAUCUGACAAGUUGACGUGCACAGUUUUCUACUAGCAUGUCUUACACCAGAACCCCUGCACACUCUGCUUUAGAGCAAGGGGAUGCUGUUCACCUAAUACCCUUCUUUUGGACUUUAAUGUGCAUAAUUGCAAUUGUCCAUCUGUUUAGUUGGACUAGGAUUCUGUCCCCUCAAGCCCUUUGUGUUAAGUUGUGCUAGCCAUGCAUGUUCCCUUCUCCUGGGAAUAUAAAUAUGAGUUAUUACAUUUGUCUGUGGACCUGUGCAGUAGAAAAAGACUCUAUGCCCCUACCAUUACCUUUGGAUUGCUGCCGAAGAGUGCUAGCUAUUUAUGUCCUCAGCUCUUGCACAGUUAAUAUGCACCAGUUACAACUGUGGAGAAUACUGAUCACUAAGACCCUUGUACCUCUUUGCAUACAUGAGGAGCGCUGACUACUUAAGGCUCCUUUUCUUAGACUAAUGUGAAUAUUUGCAGUUAUCUGUGUCCUCUUCUGUUAAACUAAGAUAUCAUCUCCUCACACCCCCUUUACAUUACUACAGAUGCUGCUGACCACCCAAAACCUUCUGGACUAUUAAUGGGUACAGUGGCAAUUAUCAAUGUUUUUGUCUCCCUAGCCCUGUUAGGCAAGCACCCCAUUCCCAAAUUCCCAUGGCAUAAUGAAGUGUAAACAUUGCAAAAGGCUCUGAUCUUUUCCAUCAAACCAGGGACUCACACUCUCCUUUUGCCUUGCUCCAAUGUAUAAAAUCCCAAUUACUCAUGGUCUCACCCUUCAUAAAAGGUCUUUUCCCUCACCCCGUGCCUGCCCUUGGACUCCUCUUAUGGACCAUUAUUAAUGCUCACAAUUUCAGAUGUCCAUGUAUCCAGUCAUUAGAUAAGGUCAUACUCUCCGCUCUCCCUGCCCCUUCUGCAUUGUUGGGGAACAUUGACUGGCAAGGUCCUUUCUCUUGGACGUUUAAGUUUAACAGUCCUAGAGGUCAUUGGUUUACCAACUUUGUAUUGCUGUAAUGCCUCAGUUGUACUUUCCUUGGUCCCUCCCAUACACCCUUCCACUUCCUUGUUUGCAUUGCUUUUGAGUAGUGCUGACUUCUCAAAGCCCCUUCUUUUGUAUUAUCAAUGAGCACAGUACCAAUCGUCCCAUUUUUCAGCCCAUCACUACAAGAUCCCUCUGCCACUUUGGUUGUAUGUUUGUGCAGUGUUAACUACCAAAAGCAGGACUGGAUUAGGUGGCUGGACCUUCACUCUUUUUCCUACAUUGUUAAUGUUUCCAAUUAUUGUCAAUUCUGGGGGCAGGAACCAUUCUUGCCCACCUGUUACUACUCUAUUGUACAGAAUACUUAAGGAAAGUCAGACCCAAGGAGCUGAAUUGCCAUCCUUUAUUUUGGGUUUUCAAUAUAUAGUAUCAGUUGAAAAUAGGAAGGAGAUUAGCCCUUUCCCUGCAUUCUGCUUCCAAAGCAGACUACCUGAACAAGAAUCUGUCCUCUCCUUUUUUUUUUUUUUUUUUUUUUUGUAUAUUGCUAUUGUGCAGUGCCAGUUGCCAGGAUACAACCGGAAAAACUGGUGUUAAUUUUUUACAUUUUUAAGAAAGACAUUUGGAUUGCAAGGUGGAAUUGAUAACCUGGUCAUUAAUACUUUAAAGUCGAAAAUUCCAUUUAUAGCAUGUACCGAUGACCAGUGUCUCUCAUUUUACUGAAGGUGGUGAGUCUGUGGACAGACCACUGUGACUCUUGCUGUAUGAGAAUUAUCAAGGAGUUCUGGAGUACAACUCUUUCAGAUAAGUGUCCUUGUUUGGGCUGUACCACCAUUAACUUUCAGAAAAACUACCUAAACAUUCUAAUCCUUAAAUUUCUUCAUCUGGAGCACCAGCCCAUACUUAUUUUAAGAGGAUUCCUAUAAAAGGAUUACAUGAAAGAAAAUUUGCUGGGGUGCUUUUGAAAACCAUAGAUUGCCUUAUUUGGUUAGUUUAUUAUAUAAUAGGCACCCUCUUUAGUUCUGCAAAUAAUUUGAAGUAGCCUGAAGCACUACACCCAAGUGAGGACCUAUCUUAGAAAUGAUGGGACCUGUUUCCCUAUUUUAUUUUAUAAGAAAAAUAAGCCAAGAUCUAAUCAUUCUUCUGGAUAUGAAUUUCAACAGUGAGAUAGCUGUGUAGUAAAAAUUACUAGUAUGCCCACCACUAGUUUACAGGGUGUUUUAUGGCAGGGGAGUAUUUAAUAUGGAACUGCUGAAGCAAAUAACUAGUCAUCACAACACAUAACUAGUCAUCACAACAGCAGUUCUUUGUAAUCACUGAAAAAGGACACUAUUUCUCUGAGAAGGAUGUCAAAAGAUCGGCUCAACUCGGCGCAGUUUGCACUACUAGCUCCUUGGACAGCUGUAAGAAGAGUCUCUGGCUCUUUAGAAUACUGAAUGAAUUCAGAGCCAGUUGGGUACCCCACUCAAGGAAGGAUGGAUCAGUUUUAAGUGUAUUGAAGCCUACACUAGAUGGCAUCCAAAGGAUGAUCCUGGCAUGUGAGACCUGAGGACUGCAAGCUGCUCUAAGAAGCUUGAAAUCCAGCAGAUCUUUCGUUUUGAGAAUCUGGACACACUCCAGCUAAUCUAAAAAGAUGAUUUGCAGGCCACCUGGAGAAAAAGGUCUUCCCUAAAAUAAUAGGCUUGUUGUCUUAAGUGUUAGUGACCCAUUCCCUUUGAAGAUCCUUAGGUGGAGAUGGGGCAUGAGGAUCUUCCAGGGGAAAAGCUCACUAACACUGGGCAACAACUCUAGGCCAAGAGGUUGUACCAAAAGACUCUCCUGGGCCCAGACAGGAAGAUGCAAUCUCAGAAGACAACCACCAUACGUCAGAGCUCAAGAUCAUUUAUUCUGUAUCUGCCCAAUCAUUAUCCUUCCCAAAAGCAGUGCAUCUGGGACUUCAGCAGAAUCAGGAGAUUUGAAGACACCAAAGGAAGUCAGCCUUCUACAUGAAGAUCAGCAUGCCUGGCACUUCAGCAUUUUAGAAUAGCAGAAUGAAUGCUUCUGUGCCCCUCACUUUAUCUUGUCUCUUUGGCUUCCUUCCCCUCUUGCUUAUCCCUUUCACUCAUAAGUGUGUAUUUCUUUGCUUGUGUGUUUCUUCCUUAAGUGUCUUUGCUUUUUCUUCUCUAUGUUAAGUGUAUCUUAACUAUGUCUCUUGCCAGUUUCUUCUCUGUGUGCUUUUGCUUCAUUUCUCUUUUUGUUCCUAAGAGCUGUGUGGUUUGUGCCUUGUCUUAGAUCUAUCUCUCUAGUGUUUUGUUGUGUUUUUCAUUUUCUUGUUGCUUCUCUUUACUCUCCUUUAUCUGGUUCUUCUUUCACCCCUUUUAUGUCUGCGAGUCACGUCCUGUGUUCGUUUUGCUCUUUUCUUGUUCUUCCUACCUCUUUUUUUCUCUCUGUGAACUCUUUGUUUGUCACCCCCUACCUGUUGUUUGAUGUUUUACUUUUUCUGAUUCUAGCCUUCCUUCUGCUGUUUCUAGUCUACAUCUAUCAUUUCUGUUUUCUGCAUUUCCUCUCUGCCUCUCUUGGGCCAUUUUCUCUCUUUUUUCCUUCUCUGUUUGUCUCAGUGUUUCUUUGCUCU